CCCUCUCCCCGAGCUGCUCCUUUCUGAGGUCUGCAAUUGGAUGGCCCCCUCUCAUCAUUUGGCUUCAGCUCAGAUGUUUAGUUGCCCUCAGGAAGCUGCCUCCUACAUCUGUGACCUCAUCACUUGCCAUUGUCUACCACCACACCUUGGCUCAUGUUCCACAGCACUCACCUCUCUUAAGGAAUUCACGUAAGUGCUGAGAAGUAAUGGAACCUGGACUCUCCACUUUUGAGGCAGGGCUGACAGCUGAGCGUGGACGUGGAUGGUGGGGAAAACACAGCUAUGACAGCCUUCCCCACAGUUUAAGGUAUCAACAAAUUUAAUUCUCACUCCACAGGAAGACUCCAGAAGACUAAAAAAAUCUCACUUUGACAGCUUUCAGAUGCCUCCAGUCCCUGCUUCACCCUAUUCAGAUGCACAGAGAUCUUGUGUUGCCCCUGAAGAUACUCUCACUCAGCCUUCCCUCUGUCUGCAGAGAUGGCUUUGACAGCCCCACACCUACAAUCUCCAGCUUCUCUUCUGAGCUGUGCUCAGUCACGGAGGCUGAGAAGUCCAAGGUCAGAGGGCCAUAUCUGCUCAGGGCCUUCUUGCUGCUGGGAACUCUGUAGAGUCUCAUGGUAGCACAGGACAUCACAUGAUGAGGAAGUGGAGCAUGUUAGCCCAGGGUUCUGCUGCUCUUGGGACCCAGCCUGGUAGCAUGACCCCCACUUCCCCAGCUCCCGCAGUCCUCCCAGCCUGUGAGUCACCAUCGAUUCUUCCAGAGAGGAGUCACUCUCAUCAAAUUUGAAACCUCGUGACACUCUAUACCCAGCAUCUGGCUCACCAAUCAUUUCCGGCUAGUGGGAAAGGUCCUGAUGGUUCAAGGUUGAAAUGUGAUUUUAAUAAAAAUAAUGCUAAAA
rnacentral:lncRNA from 1 species